GACGAACGCUGGCGGCGUGCUUAACACAUGCAAGUCGAACGGAAAGGCCCUGCUUUUGUGGGGUGCUCGAGUGGCGAACGGGUGAGUAACACGUGAGUAACCUGCCCUUGACUUUGGGAUAACUUCAGGAAACUGGGGCUAAUACCGGAUAGGAGCUCCUGCUGCAUGGUGGGGGUUGGAAAGUUUCGGCGGUUGGAGAUGGACUCGCGGCUUAUCAGCUUGUUGGUGGGGUAGUGGCUUACCAAGGCUUUGACGGGUAGCCGGCCUGAGAGGGUGACCGGGCACAUUGGGACUGAGAGACGGCCCAGAAUGCUACGGGAGGCAGCAGUGGGGAAUAUUGCACAAUGGGCGGAAGCCUGAGGCAGCAACGCCGCGUGCGGGAUGACGGCCUUCUGGUUGUAAACCGCUUUCGCCUGUGACGAAGCGUGAGUGACGGUAAUGGGUAAAGAAGCACCGACUAACUACGUG
rnacentral:rRNA from 1 species